ensembl:lncRNA
AUUGGGGUUAUAAUGGGGUUAUAAUGGGGUUGUAUUGGGAUUAAAUGGGGGGGCAAUGGGGCGGCAAUGGGAUUAUAAUGGGGUUAUAAUGGGGUUAUACUGGGAUUAGAAUGGGGUUAUACUGGGGUUAUAGUGGGGUUAUACUGGGAUUAAACUGGGAUUAGAAUGGGGUGAGAAUGGGAUUACAAUGGGGGCAAUGGGGUUAAACUGGGAUUAGAAUGGGGUUCUAAUGGGGUUAGAAUGGGGGGCAAUGGGAUUAUAAUGGGGUUAUAAUGGGGUUGUACUGGGAUCAUACUGGGAUUAGAAUGGGGUGGUAAUGGGAUUCCAAUGGGGGCAAUGGGGUUAUACUGGGAUUAGAAUGGGGUUCUAUUGGGAUCAUACUGGGAGUAUAAUGGGGUUAUACUGGGAUUAGAAUGAGGCGGCAAUGGGAUUGUAAUGGGGUUAUAAUGGGGUUAUACUGGGAUUAAACUGGGAUUAGAAUGGGGGGGCAAUGGGGUCAUACUGGGAUUUGCAGCCCGUGCAUAGGAAUGCAACCUCGUUGCAACACGUGCAUUGCAACGUGAGCACCGCACACCUCAAGGGUUGCAACGCAGCUGCUUGGCAGCUCCUGCACCGCUGCUGUGCAUUGCAACGGGAAGGGAUUGUGCUGGAGAUUGGCAGCCCGUGCAUCAGAAUGCAAGCCCAUUGCAACACGUGCAUUGCAACGUGAGCACUGCACACUUCGAGGGUUGCAACGCAGCUACUUGGCAGCUCCUGCACUGCUGCUGUGCAUUGCAACGGGAAGGGAUUGUGCUGGAGAUUGGCAGCCCGUGCAUCAGAAUGCAAACUCAUUGCAACAUGUGCAUUGCAACGUGAGCACCUCACACCUCGAUGGUUGCAACGCAGCCACUUUGCAGCUCCUGCACUGCUGCUGUGCAUUGCAAUGGGCACGUGUUGCCUGCAACAUUUGCAUCCUGUGCAUCACAAUGCAAGCACUUUGCAACCCGUGCAUUGCACCUGGAACACCUUGCACCCAGAGGAUUGCAAUGAGUGCAGUUUGCACCUCCUGCACUGCUGCUGUGUAUUGCAAUGGGAAUGGAUGGUGUUGGAGAUUUGCAGCCCGGGCAUCAGAAUGCAAGCGCAUUGCAACAUGUGCAUUGCACCUGGAACACCUUACACCCAGAGGAUUGCAACGAGUGCACUUAGCACCUCCUGCACUCCUCCUGCACAUUGCUCCAUGCACGUGUUGCCUCCAACAUUUGCAUCCCGUGCAUCACAACACAAGCCCAUUGCAACCCAUGUAUCAGAGCCUGAGUACCUUCCACCCAGAGGACUGCAAUGAGUGCAGUUUACACCCCUGCACUGCUGCUGUGCAUUGUAAUGGGAAUGGACUGUGUUGGAGAUUUGCACCCCGUGCAUCGCAACGCAAGCGCAUUGCAACUCAUGCAUCACACCCUGAACACUUUGCACCCAGAGCACUACAGUGCAGGUGUAGUGGACCCCCUGUGUCAUUGCUGUGCAUUGCAAUGGGAAUGGAUUGCUCUGGAGAUUUGCACCCCGUGCAUGGCAACGCAAGCGCAUUGCAACCCAUGCAUCACACCCUGAACACUUUGCACCCAGAGCACUACAGUGCAGGUGUAGUGGACCCCCUGUGUCAUUGCUGUGCAUUGCAAUGGGAAUGGAUUGCUCUGGAGAUUGGAACUCCGUGCAUGGCAACGCAAGCGCAUUGCAACCCAUGCAUCACACCCUGAACACUUUGCACCCAGAGCACUGCAAUGCAGGUGCAGUGGACCCCCUGUUGUCAUUGCUGUGCAUUGCAACGGGAAUGUACCGUGCAGGAGAUUUGCACCCCGUGCAUGGCAACGCAAGCCCGCUGCGACCCCGCUGCGACCCGUGCAUCGCCACGUGCACCCCUUGCACCCUCCCCACCCCAACAACGCGCACACACAGCGCCGUGCACCGCUUUUACUCCAUUCCACC